UGCAAACACAAAAACUGAUAAUCAUUUCAAAGUAAAGAACAGAACACUAAUCUGCUACUCUAAUCCAAAUGAAAUGAUUCCUCUCAGUCUCGGGUGCCAUUUCGUUUCCAUUAUAUCCAGUUUUAAGCACCAUGGUCAUCAUGUGCAUACAUUUUGUUGAAAAAAAUGGAAAAUGCAGUAAUAUGUGUGCAGCAUUCUCAAAAGAAGCCAGUCUCAGUAAAGAAUUAUGGGACAUCUAUGUGAAAAUGUCUGCUGCAUAUGGAAUCCCAAGAGAAAAUAUACAAGAUAGCCUCAAAAAUGACACCUGUCCUGAAUGAAGCUACUGAUUGGGUUUCAAGAUUGAGACGACUUGCUACAUAUCUGUCCAUGGCAUCUAAUUUACAAAUUUGAAGGUGGACCCAUCUUUCCCAAUUGUGCAUUCACCUUUCUCAUGGUGUUCUGAUCCUUUACACUUUUCUUUCCUCAAGUUUCUUCCCUGGCCCUAGUUAGUAGAAUUUUCUUUCUCUGUGAAUCAGUGAAUAAAUUUCAUCAUCUGGCAUAAACUUUUUAAAAAUUUAUUACAUUAUUUACAU